UACGUAGGGUGCAAGCGUUAAUCGGAAUUACUGGGCGUAAAGGGCGCGUAGGCGGUCUUGCAAGUCCUGUGUGAAAUCCCUCGGCUCAACUGAGGAACUGCACAGGAAACUGCUUGGCUUGAGUUCGGGAGAGGGAAGCGGAAUUCCGGGUGUAGCGGUGAAAUGCGUAGAUAUCCGGAGGAACACCGGUGGCGAAGGCGGCUUCCUGGACCGACACUGACGCUGAGGCGCGAAAGCUAGGGGAGCAAACGGG
rnacentral:rRNA from 1 species